ensembl:lncRNA
CGAGAAUUCCCAGGUGGUUCAGGGGUGAGCACUCAGUGCGACUGCUGCCAUUGCUGGGUGCAAGCCCUGGUUGGGGAGUUAAGAUCCUACAAAGCAAGGGACUCAGCCAAAAAGAAAAAGAAGAAAAGAAACGAAACAACUCAAGUGUGCCCUCCAGGUAGAAGAAACUGUGAAAGCUCUCACGGAAUAGGCCACAUUGUGCAGCAUGCCAGAUCUUGGUUACCCUACCAUGGAUGGAACCCAAGCCCCCUGCAGUGGAAUCCCAGAGUCUUAACCAAUGGACUGCCAGGAAAGUCUUGACAUUAAUCUUUUUAAA